rnacentral:tRNA from 2 species
GCUGAUUUGGCCGAGUGGUCUAAGGCGGUGGUCUUAAGUGGCAUACACUUCACCAUUAUCGAAAGAUGCGUGAGUUCGAACCUCACAGUCAGCA